rnacentral:snRNA from 1 species
GUGGUGGCACCAAGGAUGAUCUCAAGC